UACAGAGGUGGCAAGCGUUGUUCGGAAUUACUGGGCGUAAAGGGCGCGUAGGCGGCCAUCUAAGUCAGACGUGAAAUCCCCCGGCUUAACCUGGGAACUGCGUCUGAUACUGGAAGGCUUGAGUAUGGGAGAGGGAUGUAGAAUUCCAGGUGUAGCGGUGAAAUGCGUAGAUAUCUGGAGGAAUACCGGUGGCGAAGGCGGCAUCCUGGACCAUACUGACGCUGAGGCAGCGAAAAG
rnacentral:rRNA from 1 species